rnacentral:rRNA from 1 species
GACGAACCGUGCGAACGUUAUUCGGAAUUACUGGGCUUAAAGCGCGUGUAGGCGGGCCGGCACGUCCGACGCUGAAAUCCCCCGGCUCAACCGGGGAAGUGGCGGGGAUACGACCGGCCUCGAGGGGGGUAGGGGGACCUGGAACUUCCGGUGGAGCGGUGAAAUGCGUUGAGAUCGGAAGGAACGCCCGUGGCGAAGGCGGCUGCCUGGGCCAGUUCUGACGCUGAGGCGCGAAAGCGUGGGGAGCAAACAGG